CCCAUCUUUUACGUAAUGAAGCGCACCAUGGUAGUUAGUGUCACUAUCCAGAUGUUAAAUUUUAUUAAUCCGCGAUAGCGGNAAUAUGGUUACAUUAAUAUUGGCGGUCAACAACGUGCCAGCAGCCGCGGUCACACGUUAGCUAAAAGUAAAAACAAUCAGAGCGCUUUAAACGUCGCACGACUUUUUUUGGUGAAAUAAAAUAAGUCUUAUAACCCUCACGCUUACAAAGUAAAAUACAAAUGCUGAUACCAAACAGGGAUUAGAUACCCCUUUAUGCAGCUAGUAAUAUAGCGCUCUGGGCACUAAAAUUAAUAGAUUUAAACCUACGUCGCAUGGCGGUAGCUGAAAUAUUCAGGGGAUCUUAUGCCAUAAUUGAUAACCACCAAGAACAUCGACNAUAAAUUAAAUUUUACAUACCGUCGUCGUCAGAUAAGCUAAGAUAGCUUAUCAAAACAUAGAAGAGUAGAAAAUGACAGAUCAAGGUGUAGACUACUUUGUUGCGGCCACGAGAUACUAUGAUAGCUAUUCUCUUAUAUAGGUUUUAACAUCUUANAGUGAAGGACUUGAAAGUAAUAUGUAUUAUAAAUACUGUAUGAAUCCUCUUCAUCUGUG
rnacentral:rRNA from 1 species